GCAUAAUGAUGAUGAAAGUAAAUUCUUCUGAAUUUUUGUUGAUUGAAUUAUUACAACCUCCUACUCAUUCUGA
rnacentral:snoRNA from 1 species